rnacentral:rRNA from 1 species
UACGGGGGGGGCAAGCGUUGUUCGGAAUUACUGGGCGUAAAGGGUUCGUAGGUGGCUGGCUAAGCCAGACGUGAAAUCCCUCAGCUUAACUGGGGAACUGCGUCUGAUACUGGAUGGCUUGAGAUUGGGAGAGGGAUGCGGAAUUCCAGGUGUAGCGGUGAAAUGCGUAGAUAUCUGGAGGAACACCGGUGGCGAAGGCGGCAUCCUGGACCAACACUGACGCUGAGGAGCGAAAGCCAGGGGAGCAAACGGG